rnacentral:rRNA from 1 species
GAUGAACGCUGACAGAAUGCUUAACACAUGCAAGUCGAUGGGGAAGUGGUGCUUGCACCCUGGUAACCAUGGCGGACGGGUGAGUAACACGUAAGGAACUUACCUGCGGGACCGGGAUAACAGCAGGAAACUGCUGACAAGACCGGAUAAGGUCAUUAAGCUGCAUAGCUUAGUGAUGAAAGGAGACGCCUGCGGAGAGCCUUGCGUCCUAUUAGCUAGUUGGAGGGGUAACGGCCCACCAAGGCGAAGAUAGGUAGCCGGCCUGAGAGGGUGGACGGCCACAAGGGGACUGAGAGACGGCCCUUACUCCUACGGGAGGCAGCAGUGGGGAAUAUUGGACAAUGGGGGCAACCCUGAUCCAGCAAUUCUGUGUGCACGAAGACGGUUUUCGGAUUGUAAAGUGCUUUCAGCAGGGAAGAAGGAAGUGACGGUACCUGCAGAAGAAGCGACGGCUAAAUACGUG